ACUCCUACGGGAGGCAGCAGUAGGGAAUCUUCCACAAUGGGCGCAAGCCUGAUGGAGCAACACCGCGUGAGUGAAGAAGGGUUUCGGCUCGUAAAGCUCUGUUGUUAAAGAAGAACACGUAUGAGAGUAACUGUUCAUACGUUGACGGUAUUUAACCAGAAAGUCACGGCUAACUACGUGCCAGCAGCCGCGGUAAUACGUAGGUGGCAAGCGUCAUCCGGAUUUAUUGGGCGUAAAGAGAGUGCAGGCGGUUUUCUAAGUCUGAUGUGAAAGCCUUCGGCUUAACCGGAGAAGUGCAUCGGAAACUGGAUAACUUGAGUGCAGAAGAGGGUAGUGGAACUCCAUGUGUAGCGGUGGAAUGCGUAGAUAUAUGGAAGAACACCAGUGGCGAAGGCGGCUACCUGGUCUGCAACUGACGCUGAGACUCGAAAGCAUGGGUAGCGAACAGGAUUAGAUACCCUGGUAGGAUAGCG
rnacentral:rRNA from 1 species